rnacentral:rRNA from 1 species
CAGCAGUGGGGAAUAUUGCACUAAUGGGGGAAACCCUGAUGCAGCCAUGCCGCGUGUGUGAAGUAAGGCCUUCGGGUUGUAAAGCACUUUCAGUAGGGAGGAAGGUAGUGUAGUUAACACCUGCACUAUUUGACGUUACCUACAGAAGAAGCACCGGCUAACUCCGUGCCAGCAGCCGCGGUAAUACGGAGGGUGCGAGCGUUAAUCGGAAUUACUGGGCGUAAAGCGCAUGCAGGCGGCCUGUUAAGUCAGAUGUGAAAGCCCCGGGGCUUAACCUCGGAAUUGCAUUUGUAAACUGGCAGGCUAGAGUCUUGUAGAGGGGGUAGAAUUUCAGGUGUAGCGGUGAAAUGCGUAGAGAUCUGAAGGAAUACCAGUGGCGAAGGCGGCCCCCUGGACAAAGACUGACGCUCAGAUGCGAAAGCGUGGGGAGCAAACAGGAUUAGAUACCCUGGUAG